rnacentral:lncRNA from 1 species
AUAACUUUUAAAUUUGGGAUAUUUAACAUGACCCCUGAACUUAUGACAUCAAAAUAGUCAAUAAUUUAUUUUGAGCACAAAAACAGCCAAUAAACUAAGGGGGUGUAUUGAUUUGAGAUUUCAAAAGACUAUUUUGGCAAAAAAAAAUCUUGAAGAUUUUAAAAGACUUUGUGAGAUUAUAUUGAUUUUGUAAGAUUUUAAAAGACUUUUUUGAAAGACUUUUUACAUUCAAGAUUCUUAACACAAAACUCUGUGAGAUUUUAUAACAUAGACUUUUGAGAUUUCAAAGAACUUUAUGGAAUUUUUGUAUCCAAAAAAAAGAACUUUAUGGAAUUUUAACAUUUAAAUGACUCAAUAAAUUCAAUACAAAUUUCUUCCAAAAAUAUAAUAAUCAAUCAAUCAUUCCUUAAAAAACAUCAAGAAAUUAAUAUAAACAAAUAAAAUCAAUGAAUCAAUUUUUUUUUUUUAAAA